GGGCCCGCACAAGCGGUGGAGUAUGUGGUUUAAUUCGAAGAUACGCGCAGAACCUUACCAACACUUGACAUGUUCGUCGCGACUUUAAGAGAUUAAAGUUUUCGGUUCGGCCGGACGAAACACAGGUGCUGCAUGGCUGUCGUCAGCUCGUGUCGUGAGAUGUUGGGUUAAGUCCCGCAACGAGCGCAACCCUCACUUUUAGUUGCCAUCAUUAAGUUGGGUACUCUGAAAGAACUGCCAGUGAUAAGCUGGAGGAAGGUGGGGAUGACGUCAAGUCCUCAUGGCCCUUACGUGUUGGGCUACACACGUGCUACAAUGGUAUCUACAACAGGAAGCAAGACGGCGACGUUAAGCAAAUCCUCAAAAGAUACCUCAGUUCGGAUUGCACUCUGCAACUCGAGUGCAUGAAGCUGGAAUUACUAGUAAUCGU
rnacentral:rRNA from 1 species